rnacentral:rRNA from 1 species
CCUAGGACUUGUUCCUGGGCCACAC